CGGACGGAAGGCACAUGUGUCGCGGUGUUAGCCUGCUUGACUGAACGAGCACUUUCACCUACUGCACCCGUCAUCUCCUUCGGCGGGCAUUCAAAGGUGUGGUCAAACAUCCUAUUUCCUUUUUCUAUGGACGGGCACACGCGCGCACAGACAAAUCGGCGUUGUAACUCUCGCUCCACGACACAGGGCGAACGCAAAAAGCCCUCAUUUUCUUCUUAUCCUUGCAUUUUCCAGCAAUGGGGUGCACCUCCUCCUCCCUUUCGUUUCGCGAUGUGUACAUCGACCUCCAACAACGCUGGGGUCUGGACCCGAAGUUGUACGGGGUGUUGGAGCCGAACGGUGUUCGUGAAAGAUCGAGUGUUUUUGCGUCGUGCGCGAGUAGCACAGCGCGGCAAGCGUCCCAGGAACUCGUCUUACGAGACGGGUGCCUUUUCGCGUGCGAUUCACUUCUAGUCGAACAGGCGCCUCUCCUAAAGCAUCCCUUAUUCCAUGAUGAGGGAAAGGGCACGCUACAUCCGUACAACGCAGUUCUCUUUCGGCGGUUGCUGUCCGCCGUGUCAGCAGAGCAUGCUCUCCAUGCCGCAACAGAGGUGUUUAGCGUCGUCCGAGAUGGCCGUUUCAUCGCCCGGUGGGACUACCGAGUGUGGAUGAUGGCGUGCUGCGAGUUCUACCAUGUGCUGGCGAUACUGCAGGAACAGAAAGCACUCCCUAAAGAAACAAAGACGUUCAUGAAGGCCCUUACGCGGUCAUCUGAGCAUAGUGCUUUACUCCAACAAAGUACAAAGGGAACGGCGCUCUCCCAAGAUGCGCUGGAGAAAGUGUGGAGGGACGGAUCGGCAGUUCAACUCACCACGUCCACGCUCGGCGCACCCGUUAUGAGGCAGUUCUGCUCUCAAAUGCCCUCCGUCCUGGCAUGCGCCAAAAAAGGCGCAAGCUCGACCGCAGCGAGCACAAUCGACGACUCUCUAGCGCCACGGCUCAUCGCUUUAGCGAAAGAGUACGAAAAGCGGAUGGUGCCGAUGACGAGGCGGCAGAGCAGUAAUCCUCUGCGCAGCUGUGACAACGCCUCAGCGCCUUCGAGCGUCCCACUUCUGGUGUUCGCGGAGUGGGCCGCCAUGGAGUGUGCGCUCUCUUUCUGUGGUCAGGAAGAGGACUUUGCUUCAUACGGCGUCGCACCGAUGCCGCUCUCUCUCGUAUUAGCACAGCGCGAGAACAACGUACGACAGCAAUGGCGCGCGCGACUGCUUUAUCUGAGUGAGGUCAAGUCCGAGCUGGCGGAACUGGAGCCGUUCGCUCAUCUCUCUGGAGCCUACAAGCAGCUACUUGCGAAAGCGGAAGGUCUGGAAAGGGAGGUGGAGGAGCAGGUCGCGAGGUGGCGCCGCGGCCGCGAGGUGCUGACGGCCGAGGAUGCUGAGGAUAUGUGCUGGCAUCUGUUGGAGAUAUGGGAGUCUCUGCCGAAUCGGACCGUGCACCAGAUUUUGUCCCGCAAGGCAUUUGAGUGCGCUGCUGGAGCUCACGGCACUAUUGCGACUACCGGCCAGCUGUGCCAGUACUUGAGGUAUUACCUGGCACUCCACGAUUUGUACCGAGACGUCCUCUUCCACCAGCUGAAAGGGUCGGAAGUGGAGGGGCUGGGCGACGGUCUAUGCUUGCCAAGGCGUAUCGACUUCGACACCUUCCGCACCGCAUUAGUGGCAGCACAGGCGAGACAUGACGCCGACCUCGAUCCUCUCCUGGGUACUGCCGCGGGGUGUGGCCCGCUGACACCAGCAUUGGUCCUGGAUGUUGUGCGUCAGCUUUUCGACUCAGUUGCCGAUAGUGACGCUGAGGAUGGGGUGAAAGGUGUCAGUUUCGAUGCACUUUGCGCCAUGGUGCUUCAAAACCUAGCGCGGGGGCGCCAUGUAUCCCCAUCCCUGCGCUCUAUCGAUGAGCUCCGUCGUGCGCUUGGCAUGGAUGAAACGAAGCGGCAGCGCGCCUUCACGGCGUCCUUCCUCCGCGAGGUCUCCACCGUCCAAGACGAUUUUUCUGCAUGCAGUCCACUGUUGGCCACUAAGGCGCUGGAGGUAGCGGCGGAGCUGCCUCAGUACACCAAUCACAGCGCUCGCGUGGCUGCGAUGGCAGUGCGGUAUGCCUCUCUUGACCCUCGCUGCUGGUCCGCUCUUUCUGCUAGUGACGAUGUCGAGUCGGCGGCGCUAACGAGGUGGCUGUAUCGAUUACGUUCUGAGUCAGUCGAUCGUUUCUCACCAACGGAGGACCCGGUGCACAUGGAGUUUGCUGUGCGCGCACUUUUCGGCUUCGCCGCUGCGCAGCGUGGGAUUGAGGACACCGCGCCAGGGGCGGAAAAGUCGGCGAAUUCUGACGUCUGCUUCGACGGUGUUCAGUUCAGCGCGACGCGGCCGCCGAUGGCCACGGACGUAACUCAGUCUCAUUUUGUCCGUGCUGUGGCGGCGAUUUGCAAGUACCUGGAGUGCCCGGCGGAGGUGUUGUUGAACAACGCACAGGCACUUUUGCUCCCGGCGAACAGUGCGGCGGAUGUGCUCAUUACGCAAGCGGUGAACCCCACAUUCACCAUUGAGAGCGCCUUCCGCUCUUUCCAGAGUGUGUCGCACUUGACGGCCGACUGGCACGGGUGCGACGACGAAGCAGAAGAGCAGAAUGCUCAAGACAGGACGCAGACAGCCAGGGUGCACCACAUUAUUUUUGUUAUGGUGUUCAACUACACGCGUCAGCACUGCUUCAGGUACUGGAAGACCCACAAGCGGUACGAUGACGACCUCGACGUUUCGUUGUCGGCGGCAAAGGACGGCAGUGACGCUGACUACCCGAAGUGGGACGGCGAGAGCGAGCUGCUGGCCCUCAGCCGCGCGAUGCCGCUGCGCACUCUCGUCAGCUGCUAUCGAGUCUUUGCUGAGUUGACCGAGCAGGAAGCACAACACAGUGAACCGGCGGAAAGUGCAAGCGGUGGGCAGGCGGCCUUUCUCCAUGCAUUUUAUGAGCAGUACAUGCCCUUCUUUCAACGGCUUCACCUAGACGAGGACCACGUGACUGAAGUGGGCGCGCGCGCGCUUCAGUUCAUAGCAAGCCAAAGUGGCCGCUGCAGCUGCGACAAGGGCGACCUGGGAAUCGCCCGCCGCGACUUCAGCUCCUUCUUGCAGUUUGUCCUGGGAUACUUGUUGGUGGAAACAGCGUACGAAUCGACCGUGCAAGCCACCUCGGAGGCGAGAGGUGCCGCUCAGGAUGGGCCUGUAGAGGUGCUCCUCUCCGAGCAAGACUUCCGGCGCCUACUGGCGUGCUUUGGCCGCUUUACGGAAGGAGGUGUUUCGGCCAUUCCUACCAUUGAAGAGGCGCACCAAUGGCUGCGGUCCCAUCACGUCGACAACACAUACAAGGGGCUCAUCUCGCUGCAAAACGUGUUACUCUGGUACAGCUCCCAUCGUGCGGAGCAUUACGCACUAGAGUCCUUGUACGACUGGUGGCGAGAGUCGCACGCGCAGCGCAUCCCCUUCACGAUGUCGGCAGAGCAUCGCCGCGAGCGGAAGUCCGCGAUACGGGAGAUUCUCCGCGUAAAGCAGCAUCGCGAAGGCUUGCCAGAGUCGUACCCAGUCGAGGUUUCCGAGGAUGAGGACGGCUACCUUCCGGUCGAAAUCACCUCUUCCGUGCUGGAGCGUCGCUGGGGCGUUGAAGAAAUAACCACCCGCGUCUUCGGCAUGGACGAAAAGCCAACAGCUGAGGCAGCGCCACCUGGGGACGGCGGAGAGGCUCAAGCAUCUUCCCUUUCUUUGGCCGUGCCGCUGUGGUUUGACAGCUGUGAGUGCGGAUGUAACGCGGCGCUUCACCCCACAGGCCCCGACUCACGCAAGGUGCAUCGCGGUGAUUUCCGUUUCCUCUUGGAGUACGUGCACCACUUUGUCUCAGCGUACGUCAGCCUGAACUACACCCUCACGUUGCUAGAGGCUUCUUCGGGCAUCGUGUCUGCUGAGGGCAGUGAGCACAGAAGCCCCAGCACCCCAGCAGCGCAUCAAGCAAACAUGGCAGAGCUGCUUUCUGAGAGUCUUCUCCUCCUCAUUCCUUUGACCAUCGUGCCCGUAGAGUUGUUGAGCACGCUAUCCAGCGUGAUGGCCGACAUGUGGAAUGAUAUGCAGACGACAGGCGUCGUGGUGGAUGGGACCUACCGACGUGGUGCACACUCCAUUGCAGCUUUCCUCGUGGGCCGCUCGCACCUCAUUGCCUCUCGCGCCCGGAAGUCAUACCUGCAAGGCAUCAGGACCCAGGGCUUCCGCGAGACGCUCACCGCCCAAGACGCCGUUGUCGGCGCGCUGGGCGGCUACGAUGUCUAUUCAAAACUGUCCUACUGGGAGCGCCUUCGCAUCCUGCUGCCCUUUGGCCCGUCCCUGCAGCGUCGUCAGCAGCGUCGUGAGCUCUUUAUGUGCAUGGACCACCGCCGACGUGGGUACCUGACGGUGUCCGACAUCGCGCGCGGGCUAAUGGACAUGGUUCAGCUGCAGUCCUUCCGCGCAGACUUCACCCCAGCGCUGCUGCGCGCUUUCAGAGCGACCAAGGACGUGGCGGGGAAACGCCAGAAUGUGGUAUAUCUCACUCAACACACGGAGGAGCAGGUGCUCAUGCCGUGGGAGUUCAACGCCUUCCUGGAAUAUCUGUAUCGGUACCUCCAGCUCUACUUCAUGUUUGAUGUGCUGGCGUGCGGUGGCCAUGUUCACCCGGAAACCCUCCACGUCGUGCAGAAGCAGCAGCGAUGUGGCACAGCUGACCCAGAUGAGGGCAGCCCAAGCGGAGAGUCUGUUGGGGCCAGGACGAGCACACGAGCGGAUGAUGCCGCAGAUGCGGCAGUGGCUGCGGACGGCGCGACAGCAGCGCCAUACACUCGCAGUGCUGCGGUUGCCCUCUAUGAAGCAUCCAUGCAACCCUAUCAAAUCACACUGGAGGCGGCCCCAAUGAAGAAGGAGGUGUCGCUGUCUCAGUUCCGAAUGGCACGCCAGCUUCUCCGUCGAUGGGGCGCACAUGUCGAAAACCCCGUGGAGGUGUUUCAGCAUGUCGACCGGCAGUGCCGCGAAGGGGGAAAGCUGCUCUUCAACGGGUUUGCCAUCUGGGCCUCCGAACAGGAUCUCCAGCCCGAAGGGAAUGGCUACGGGUAUGACGACUCUAUCGACGCGAUAGCCGUUAUGGAGGAGUACGCCUCUCAGUGAUGCUCGCGUAUGUACGCUAGAGGCCUUUUACGAGUGUGGCGCUAAUCGCAGCUGCCUCUGUCGCUGGCACGGCGAUGCGGCUCUACUUUCAGUGAAGAAGGAAGAGUUUCUCCAUCGAUUUGAGACCUUUUCCCCCUGACCACCACUUCGAGGCGUAAGGGCGGUGGCUGCCGUUUUCUUCGUCGCCUUUCAUGCGUAUAGGGUGCAUGUGUUUGUGGGUGUGCCUGUGUCUUGUACGGCUGCAUCUACACAGUGCGGUCGUGUGCCCCUAUAUGGGUAUCUUUUCCCUUGUGUUUCUCUUUUUCCCAGAACGCGUUCACUUCUUUCCUUUUACUCAUCUUGUGCCAUGUACAGUUUUACCUUUUCUUCCACCCAGCUCGGUGCGUCGUUUGUGCACUACAGUGUCUCCCGGUCUACGCGUGUUCGCUUGUCGGCCUCGCGCGAACUCUGCGUUCCCUGACUGCUUUUUUGUCCGCCAUCACAGGCUGAGACACCGCAUAGCCGGAAACCGCAAGAAAGAAACGGAAAACGAAAGUUCAUACCCCGAGUACAGAGGUGGGGCGGGGACCGCUACCGGUACCGCGAAACUGCAGUCUUCGAUCACCCGGUGCUGUGGAAUGAGCAGAUGGGUUGCCUUUUGCUUGCUCUCUUUCGACCGGCGUGGCUAGCCUCUGCUGCUAAGACACUACAAAAGCACUAGCGGUGCAGAAGAGUCGCACAUACACACACCCACGCCUCCGAGCACAAGACAGAAGUGCUGCACGGAGCUCAGGCAGGUUUCAUGCUUCAAGAGGGUGAUUCAUUUCACUGCUUUCCUCGCUGCGCGCCGUCGCCGCUCUCUUUUAUUUUUUUUUUGUGUGUCUUUAUGUUUCACAG
rnacentral:misc_RNA from 1 species